rnacentral:rRNA from 1 species
GAUCCUGGCUCAGGAUGAACGCUAGCGACAGGCCUAACACAUGCAAGUCGAGGGGCAGCGGAGAGGUAGCAAUACCUUUGCCGGCGACCGGCGCACGGGUGAGUAACACGUAUGCAAUCCACCUGUAACAGGGGGAUAACCCGGAGAAAUCCGGACUAAUACCCCACUAAUAUGGGCGCUCCGCAUGGAGAGCCCAUUAAAGAGAGCAAUUUGGUUUACAGACGAGCAUGCGCUCCACUUAG